ACGCGGCCGUAAAGUAACCGGAGGAAGGUGGGGAUGACGUCAAAUCAUCAUGCCCCUUAUGACCUGGGCUACACACGUGCUACAAUGGUUGGUACAACGAGUUGCGAGUCGGUGACGGCGAGCUAAUCUCUUAAAGCCAAUCUCAGUUCGGAUUGUAGGCUGCAACUCGCCUACAUGAAGUCGGAAUCGCUAGUAAUCGCGGAUCAGCACGCCGCGGUGAAUACGUUCCCGGGCCUU
rnacentral:rRNA from 1 species